AUACUUACCGGCACAGGAGAUCCCGUGAUCACGAAGGCGGUUUUCCCCGGGCGAGGCUCCCCAUUGCACUCGGUGGUGCUGACCCCCGCGAUUAACCCAAAUGGGGUUAACUCCGAGUGCGAAAUUUUUGGUUUUGCAGGGGGGCUGCGUUCGCGCUAUCCCCCA